rnacentral:rRNA from 1 species
UAGAGGCAGGUUAUUUUUUUCCUACGCACCCGCUUCUCCUCUUAGUUUCGUUGAUGAGGACCGUCGUCGUCGAUCGGUCGAUGGGGACGAACGAAACGAAACGAAGGGGCAGCUCCUUCUUCUUCUACCCCCCGCACCCGCAGAGGGAACGCGACGAGCGGCGGCAGCAGGAGAGGCGGCGACGACGACGGGGCGUCGAUCGCCCUCGUCGGUUCCGUCUCGUAAGGGAUCCUUAGUAGGUCUUCCUGUAGUAAGUCUGCCAGUUGUUCGUAGGGUUACGGCCCACCUGCCGACCUGUGUUGGGGAUGAAGCGUUUGAUGUGAUAACUCGUUAAGUUCGUAUAGGACCCACACUUCGGUUGCGGAGGCCCAAACGAGCGACCACAAGGUUAGGUUUGGGUAGGUCUUAGUCACCUAGAGGGGUUCCUCAAACUGCGAUCUUGAGUUACCAGGUCAACGUCGUGUUAACCCUUGUAUGAACUAGUUCCAGUGACACCACGGACAACCCGGAAACGACGGCACCUUCGAGAGGUCCUAGCAAAGACAUAAGUAGAGUUGUACUCGCAGUGUGAAAGCCAGUUACUGGAUGACCGAACGACACCAAAAGACACACCAUCGCCAACAUUACCUCCUAUAGGAUAGUCGCGUACCGCGAUGAAGGCAGCGUCACCAUAGCAGUGACUCCUCACGCUAGGUAUGAAGCUAGUCUGACCAACGGUCGUAGGACCUACGCUCGGUCGAAUAGGAUGUGGUUUUACAGUUUCCUUUACGUUCCACGUCUUGGUUCACACCUUCCUUUUCUUCGUAAAGUCACAAUUACGCAUGUCUCAUGUAAGACUAGGGGUACUGUAGUACCGUCUCCAGAUGUUUUUACCGGGACAUCUUCAACGAAAGUGGCAAAUACUCCUGAAGCGUGUGAUGUUCAGUCCUCACAUGUUCGUGUAGUGUCCACCGCACUACCCUCCAGUGCGGCAGUUCAACUAACCAACCCCUUGGUCACUACGACCGCUCCUAAUGACCGAAGAACGUUUAGUCACCUUGUCUCCGACCCCACUACUGCCCAUGAAGUUCUAGUAUUCCCCGUUCUUACUUACACCGUAGCUUCUUCUACAAUGACGGCCAUACGGGAGCUGUUUCUUGUGCCGGUCUUUGUUACUACAGCGGAAACCUUGCCGGUAUGAAACUCGUCGCGGGACCAAUGUUUGUGCCAACUUCAAUCGACAAACGUACAGUUUACUUCGGUCAUUUAAUCGAAACUACCAAGGUCCUAUGACAUAAUACAUGUGAUCGCGUUUGCGACUAUACAACGACUUUGUUGUGGAACAAGUCUUUGUUUUCCCUCAUUAUUAUUAUGGUUGUUUUGGUAUUCCGACAGUAGAG